CUAUGGUGAAAUCUGAAUCCCCAUCACUACAGAAAGUUCGAGUGCAGGGGGAUGGAGCAGAGGCACAACGCGGGGACAGGAGGCCAGGCGCUCGGAGGCUCGGCAAGGGGUUUCACCGCGAGGGACAGAGACGCCUUGGCCGGACAAAUAGUGGAGAAGACCUCUGACAACAACAACGCAGAUGGGCCCAGCGCAGAGGCAAGGCGACGGAGAGCACACCAGCAAGCGUCCGUUGCAGUCGAUGCCAGACACAGACGCCGACGACGGACCAACGCAGGAGACGGGAGCAACUUAGG